GGCCUUGUAGCUCAGCUGGGAGAGCAGCAGACUGAAGUGUGUUCAUAUAUAUCUGAAGGUCCGGUGUUCAAUCCACCGCAAGGCCA